GUCUUGCUACAUUUUUUUCGAUGAGCACACGUUUUGUUUUUUUGCGCGGAGUUUUGAAUACAAUUAAUAUUAAAUAAUUAAUGAAUACUCAAAAUGAGUGCGAUAUCGAAAUAAACUACCAUAACGAGAGCAAGCAAUUGAGAAAAUCGAAGCAAAUAGCAGUGCCUGUGUGCUGUAUAAAUGCAAGUGUGCGUGUGUGUUGUGUGUUUGCGUUUGUUUGUGUGUGUGUCGAGUGAGUGCGUUAUAAAUAAAACGCCAAGAAGCUGCGUGCAAAAAGUAGACGCCAAGAAAAAUAAAGAAUGUGCCCAAACAACAGUGCAAGAAAAGAAACUGAUUUUAUGCUGAGUUCCGUUGUAUUUUUAAUACAUUUCUAAUUAAUUUUUUUAAUAAAGUAACGAAAGGCGAAAGUGCAUUUCUACAUGUAAAGCUGCAAAAGCUAAAUUUACAAAUAAACGCUUUUUUGCAACUUCGACCUGUAGACUUUAUUUGGAUUAAAGCAGAGGAGUGUUCAGCUUGCAACACGCUGUGUAAUGGAUGCAACAUCAAUAAUAACACAAGUUUCCCGCGAUGAUGAACAAUUGAAUGUCUAUCCAAGCGACAAAGGAGCUUCUGACGUCGCAACUUG